CUUUCCACUGCCUCAGCCCAAUCUUAACAUUUAAGCAAGCGACAAGCUAUCCUGAAAAAUUUAUACAACAACGGGGUGAGCAUAUAAAGCUCAGCAAGUGACUAACAUAUCCAUGUCAAAAGAGGAUAAUUUCCAAAGAGAUAAAGUUUCAAAAUGCAAGGCAGAAUAUAAGAAUUCAUAGACGUAAUAUCAUUAGGUGCAAAAUCACAAUUGUCAUUUCAAUCAUACAUAUUUGGUUCAUAACAGAUGAGGCCUAGAGUAAUUGGAGCAUAUCAACCACGAAUGAAACGUUUCGGAGCAUAUCAAUAACAAAUGAAAUAUUUCGGAGCUUAUCAAUGACGUAUGAAAUGUUCCGAAGCAUAUCAUGGCGUAUGGAACAUUUCGAAGCAUAUCAACAAUAAAUGAAACAUUUCGGAGCUUAUCAAUGGCGUAUGAAAUGUUCCGGAGCAUAUCAACGACAUAUGGAACAUUUCGAAGCAUAUCAACAAUGAAUGAAACAUUUCGGAGCUUAUCAAUGGCGUAUGAAAUGUUCCGGAGCAUAUCAACGGCAUAUGGAACAUUUCGAAGCAUAUCAACAAUGAAUGAAACAUUUCGGAGCUUAUCAAUGGCGUAUGAAAUGUUUCGGAGCAUAUCAAGGGCAUAUGGA
rnacentral:lncRNA from 1 species